CUGCCGGCAGGCUGCAGCGCGUCCUGCACCCCCUGGAAGCCAGCAGGACGGCAACACACGCCGCAGAACGGGAGGUCUGUGUUUCCACGCCACGUCUUCAGUGCUGUGAAGGAAGCUACGAUGUCCUGAAGGAGCGUCACGGCAAGAAUUUUUCUCCUUCAUACUGAGAGGUGGGAGAAUGAAGCCCCUUUUUCCCCAGAGGAGGAGGUGGGACGCCUUCAGGAGGAGCUGGAGGUAGUGGUGUCAUCUGGUGACGUGCAGAGGACCUGCGGCCAGGCUGAGGCUCCCUCCGGGCCGUUGGAAGACUUCACGUGACGUUGGAAGGAACAGGCAUGGGACAUCCAUUUUAUUUUUUUAAAAACAAACUCUGGAUGUUUAGCGUGUGGAUUUGUGCCAACUUCAGGAAAGCCUGCUCCCUCUGCUUUCCCGGCAUUGUAACCUCUGUCAGCCUGGCUCUGAUGGAUGCUAUUAAUAUUUUAGAGAUCAUUUAGGAUCUCCGCCUUGGCUGGGCUCCUCGCUCAGGGAGGAGCUGUCCCACGUGGAUGCCUGCAGCUGCCGGAGGAGCGCUCUUGCUGCCUGCUGCUGUGGUUUGUAGGAGGCUGGCCUGCAGGAGCUCUGUGCCUCUCCAUGUUCUGGUCUCCCUCUGCCACCACACCCGGUAUGAUUCUGGAAGAGAAUCUGCUGCAGCCCUGCUGGUGGGGUCACUCUCUAAGCUCAAGCCGUAGAUCCUGCACUUGGCCUCAUGGUCCCUGGAUCCAUGCCCAGUGCCAGCCAGGAAGGUUCAUGGUGUCCUGCUGCAGGGCUCUGCCCCACACCAUCUCCAGCUGCCUCCCGGGAGCUGCAUGCACCCAUCCUGCACCUCUGCUGUACGCAGCGGAGCUCCGUGUCCAUCACUGCCAUGCAGGGGAGCUCUCGGGUAAUGCUCUGCUUGCUCAGCGCUCCCCAUGGGGCCCCCCGAAAUCCAGCACGGGGCCACCACGCCAAGGGCAUGGGGGCUCCGACAGAUCCAGGAGACGGUGAAGCCGUUUGAUUGAAUCCCAGACUGUGUUUGCUCUGCCUAAUUAUCAAAAGUAUGAGUUUGUUCUGCUAGGUGCACAUUAUGCCUUUAUUGUGGUGUAAUUAUGCCAGCUGCCUAUGUUUAGUGUCAUAAAAAGGAAUAAAAUGCCCAUUACCCGCCUAAA